AGAGUUUGAUCAUGGCUCAGAUUGAACGCUGGCGGCAGGUCUGUAACACAUGCUAGUCGAGCGGAUGAAGGUAGCUUGCUACCGGAUUCAGCGGCGGACGGGUGAGUAAUGCUUAGGGAAUCUGCCGUUAUUAAGUGGGGGACGAACAAGUGUCCGGAAAGGGGCGCUAAUACCGUCAUACGUCCGUACUGGGAGUAAAGCAGGGGACCUUCGGGCCUUGCGCUAAUAGAUGAGCCUAAGUCGGAUUAGCUAGUUGGUAGGGUAAAGGCCUACCAAGGCGACGAUCUGUAGCGGGUCUGAGAGGAUGAUCCGCCACACUGGGACUGAGACACGGCCCAGACUCCUACGGGAGGCAGCAGUGGGGAAUAUUGGACAAUGGGGGGAACCCUGAUCCAGCCAUGCCGCGUGUGUGAAGAAGGCCUUUUGGUUGUAAAGCACUUUAAGCGAGGAGGAGGCUACACUAGAUUAAUACUUUAGGAUAGUGGACGUUACUCGCAGAAUAAGCACCGAGCUAACUCUGUGCCAGCAGCCGCGGUAAUGACAGAGGGUGACGAAGCGGUUAAUCGCGGAUUUACUGGGCGUAAAGCGUGCGUAGGCGGCCAAUUAAGGUCAAAUGUGAAAUCCCCGAGCUUAACUUGGGAAUUGCAUUCGAUACUGGUUGGGCUAGAGUAUGGGAGAGGAUGGUAGAAUUCCAGGUGUAGCGGUGAAAUGCGUAGAGAUCUGGAGGAAUACCGAUGGCGAAGGCAGCCAUCUGGCCUAAUACUGACGCUGAGGUACGAAAGCAUGGGGAGCAAACAGGAUUAGAUACCCUGGUAGUCCAUGCCGUAAACGAUGUCUACUAGCCGUUGGGGCCCUUGAGGCUUUAGUGGCGCAGCUAACGCGAUAAGUAGACCCGCCUGGGGGAGUACGGUCGGCAAGACUAAAACUUCAAAUGAAUUGACGGGGGCCCGCACAAGCGGUGUGAGCAUGUGGUUUUAAUUCGGGAUGCAACGCGCAAGAACCUUACCUGGCCUUGACAUACAGAGAACUUUCCAGAGAUGGAUUGGUGCCUUCGGGAACUCUGAUACAGGUGCUGCAUGGCUGUCGUCAGCCUCCGUGUCCGUGAGAUGUUGGGUUAAGUCCCGCAACGAGCGCAACCCUUUUCCUUAUUUGCCAGCACUUCGGGUGGGAACUUUAAGGAUACUGCCAGUGACAAACUGGAGGAAGGCGGGGACGACGUCAAGUCAUCAUGGCCCUUACGGCCAGGGCUACACACGUGCUACAAUGGUCGGUACAAAGGGUUGCUACACAGCGAUGUGAUGCUAAUCUCAAAAAGCCGAUCGUAGUCCGGAUUGGAGUCUGCAACUCGACUCCAUGAAGUCGGAAUCGCUAGUAAUCGCGGAUCAGAAUGCCGCGGUGAAUACGUUCCCGGGCCUUGUACACACCGCCCGUCACACCAUGGGAGUUUGUCUGCAUCCAGAAGUAGGUAGUCUAACCGCAAGGAGGACGCUUAAUCACUGAUGACGUGUGACCSGAAGUGAACCUGGGGAUAGAAGUCGUAACAAGGUAGCCGUAA
rnacentral:rRNA from 1 species